AUGUUGUUCAGUUUAUUUUGGAUUUAAAAAUUCCAUCCGCCACUUCGACAUUGGUUUCUCAAUUCGAAGGGAGCUACGUGCACCUCUCUUCACAGAAGUUCAGCAGCCAUGUGGUUGAAAAAUGUCUCGUGGUGUUAAAUGACGAGAGCCGAUCGAAAAUCAUCAACGAAUUGCUCUCUACAACUCACUUUGAACUAUUGCUUCAAGAUCCACAUGCAAAUUAUGUUGUGCAAACUGCUCUCCAUGUGUCGGAGAGAUCUCUGCACAAUUCACUUGUCGAAGCAAUCGAGUCCCAUAAAGCACUAUCGCGCAACAGCCCGUAUUCGAAGAGGAUCCUCUCUAAGAAGCUUCUCAAAAAGUGAUGUACAUUCUCAAAAAAGAAGCCGUCCUCUGUCGUUUUGUGUCUCUGUUACUGUAGUUUUCUACCGUCCACUAUAAUCGUCGUAUAUAUAAACGGAAACCGGAAGGCGCGCUUCGACCCGAGGUAGAGUCUUUUGUAUUCUCGGAAUGGCAUGGAAAUCCCUCCCUUGUGCUCACAAGAGUGUAAAAGAUAA